rnacentral:rRNA from 1 species
GAAUUUUGGACCGUAGCAAGACGGACUACAGCGAAAGCAUUUGGCAAGAAUGUCUUCAUUAAUCAAGAACGAAAGUCAGAGGUUCGAAGGCGAUCAGAUACCGCCCUAGUUCUGACCGUAAACGAUGCCAACUAGCGAUCCGCCGGCGGAUUCAUUCGCCCUGGUGGGGAGCUUCCCGGAAACGAAAGUCUUCCGGUUCCGGGGGAAGUAUGGUUGCAAAGCUGAAACUUAAAGGAAUUGACGGAAGGGCACCACCAGGAGUGGAGCCUGCGGCUUAAUUUGACUCAACACGGGGAAACUCACCCGGCCCGGACACCGUAAGGAUUGACAGAUUGAUAGCUUUUUCAUGAUUCGGUGGAUGGUGGUGCAUGGCCGUUCUUAGUUCGUGGAGCGAUUUGUCUGGUUUAUUCCGAUAACGAGCGAGACUCUAGCCUACUAAAUAGUUGACUCAUUGCCGCUGUGGGCACAACUUCUUAGAGGGAUUUUCGGUGUUCAGCCGCACGAAAUUGAGCAAUAACAGGUCUGUGAUGCCCUUAGAUGUCCGGGGCUGCACGCGCGCUACACUGGCAAAAUCAGCGUGCUUGUCCUUCCCCGAAAGGGGUUGGUAAACCGGUGAAAAUUUGCCGUGAUUGGGAUCGGACAUUGCAAUUAUUGUCCGUGAACGAGGAAUUCCUUGUAGGGGCGAGUCAUCAACUCGCUCUGAAUACGUCCCUGCCCUUUGUACACACCGCCCGUCGCUGCCCGGGACUGAGCCAUUUCGAGAAACUCGGGGACGAUUAGUGUGUCAGCUUCGGCUGUCGCGCAGAUUGGAACCGAUUUAAUCGCAGUGGCUUGAACCGGGCAA